rnacentral:ncRNA from 1 species
NNNNNNNNNNNNNUAAUUUGACUCAACACGGGGCAACUUACCCGGUCCGGACAUCGUCAGGAUUGACAGACGCUCGUGCAGUUCUUUCUCGAUUCGAUGGGUGGUGGUGCAUGGCCGUUCGUGGCUGGUGAAGUGAAAAGUCUGGUUUAUUCCGCUAACGGGCGAGGCCUCGCCCUUAACUAGUCGGCUCGUGGUUCUCGAAUCGUAGUCUCCCUUCGGGGAGCAGGGAGAACAUCGGGCGAGUCGCAGCGAUCGUCGCUACUUCUUAGGGGGAUCCCGAGCAAGCUUAAGCUAGGUGAGAGAGAUCAAUAACAGGUCAGUGAUGCCCUUAGAUGUCCGGGGCCGCACGCGCGCUACACUGAAGACGAAAGCGCGAGUGCCUACGGUCUUGGUUUGGUCAGGCCGGGAACCCGCCCCGAGAGGGGAGGUUGGGGCUGUUCCUUCACGGGGGCAGUCUCGCCUACUGCGGGUUAACCGUGCCAAUCGUCUUCGUGCUGGGGAUCGGGGCUUGCAACUCAGCCCCGUGAACGAGGAAUUCCGAGUAGGCGUCCGUCAUCAGCUGGCGCCGAUUA